rnacentral:rRNA from 1 species
CCCUUAGAUGUUCUGGGCCGCACGCGCGCUACAAUGAUGAAUUCAACGAGUUUAUAACCUUGGUUGAAAAGCCUGGGUAAUCUUUUGAACUUUCGUCGUGAUGGGGCUAGACCCUUGCAAUUAUUGGUCUCCAACGAGGAAUUCCUAGUAAACGCAAGUCAUCAGCUUGCAUUGAUUACGUCCCUGCCCUUUGUACACACCGCCCGUCGCACCUACCGAUUGAAUGGUCCGGUGAAAUCUUCGGAUUGAGACUUUGAUUUCUUCACGGAAAACGCUGUUUUAAAAAGUUUAUUAAACCUUACCAUUUAGAGGAAGGUGAAGUCGUAACA